UACGGAGGGUGCUAGCGUUGUUCGGAUUUAUUGGGCGUAAAGAGCUCGUAGGCGGCUGGUUGCGUCGACUGUGAAAACCCGCGGCUCAACCAUGCGGUCUGCAGUCGAUACGGGCAGGCUAGAAUUCGGUAGGGGAGACUGGAAUUCCUGGUGUAGCGGUGAAAUGCGCAGAUAUCAGGAGGAACACCGGUGGCGAAGGCGGGUCUCUGGGCCGAUAUUGACGCUGAGGAGCGAAAGCGUGGGGAGCGAACAGG
rnacentral:rRNA from 1 species